rnacentral:rRNA from 1 species
UGGGAAUUUGGACAAUGGGCGAAAGCCUGAUCCAGCAAUGCCGCGUGUGUGAAGAAGGCCUUCGGGUUGUAAAGCACUUUUGUCCGGAAAGAAAUCCUUGGCUCUAAUACAGUCGGGGGAUGACGGUACCGGAAGAAUAAGCACCGGCUAACUACGUGCCAGCAGCCGCGGUAAUACGUAGGGUGCAAGCGUUAAUCGGAAUUACUGGGCGUAAAGCGUGCGCAGGCGGUUUGCUAAGACCGAUGUGAAAUCCCCGGGCUCAACCUGGGAACUGCAUUGGUGACUGGCAGGCUAGAGUAUGGCAGAGGGGGGUAGAAUUCCACGUGUAGCAGUGAAAUGCGUAGAGAUGUGGAGGAAUACCGAUGGCGAAGGCAGCCCCCUGGGCAAGUACUGACGCUCAUGCACGAAAGCGUGGGGAGCAAACNGGAUUAAUNCCCUGGUAGUCCACGCCCUAAANGAUGUCAACUAGUUGUUGGGGAAUUCAUUUUCCUUAGUAACGUAGCUAACGCGUGAAGUUGACCGCC